GAUGAACGCUGGCGGCGUGCCUAAUGCAUGCAAGUCGAGCGAACGGACGAGGAGCUUGCUUCUCUGAUGUUAGCGGCGGACGGGUGAGUAACACGUGGAUAACCUACCUAUAAGACUGGGAUAACUUCGGGAAACCGGAGCUAAUACCGGAUAAUAUUUUGAACCGCAUGGUUCAAAAGUAAAAGACGGUCUUGCUGUCACUUAUAGAUGGAUCCGCGCUGCAUUAGCUAGUUGGUAAGGUAACGGCUUACCAAGGCAACGAUGCAUAGCCGACCUGAGAGGGUGAUCGGCCACACUGGAACUGAGACACGGUCCAGACUCCUACGGGAGGCAGCAGUAGGGAAUCUUCCGCAAUGGGCGAAAGCCUGACGGAGCAACGCCGCGUGAGUGAUGAAGGUCUUCGGAUCGUAAAACUCUGUUAUUAGGGAAGAACAUAUGUGUAAGUAACUGUGCACAUCUUGACGGUACCUAAUCAGAAAGCCACGGCUAACUACGU
rnacentral:rRNA from 1 species